rnacentral:rRNA from 1 species
UACAGAGGGUGCAAGCGUUAAUCGGAAUUACUGGGCGUAAAGCGUGCGCAGGCGGUGAUGUAAGACAGGUGUGAAAUCCCCGGGCUUAACCUGGGAACUGCAUUUGUGACUGCAUCGCUGGAGUGCGGCAGAGGGGGAUGGAAUUCCGCGUGUAGCAGUGAAAUGCGUAGAUAUGCGGAGGAACACCGAUGGCGAAGGCAAUCCCCUGGGCCUG